rnacentral:misc_RNA from 1 species
GAAGUGCGAUAAGCAGUGCGAAUUGCAGAACCGUGAGUCAUCAGAUUUUUGAACGCAAUUGGCGCCGAUAGGCAUCCCUGUCGGCAUGUUUGUUUCAGUGUCUCGUUUUCUCCUCACCCAAAUCUUAAUGCAGGAGAUACCCUUCUCUUGUUAAGCCUGAAGGCACUCUGAGCCCUGCUAGCGACAGACUUCGGUUGUGGUCGCACUCAAUGCAGCAGUCACAUUGUUUACAGUGUGAACUCAUUGAGCGUAGAGUCAGUGCAGCUUGUCUGCGAGUGCUUAGUUCUCUCGAACUCUUCUUGUAUCUGAAAUCAAGCAGGAUCACCCGCUGAACUUAA